AUCCCGUGGUGAGGGCAUUUGUGUAAUAGUUUCUUAAAUCGCUCCCACGCCUCGUAGAUGGAUUCAUUGUCCAUCUGUUGGAAAGUGGUAAUCUCAUUCCUCGGCU
rnacentral:snoRNA from 1 species